UCAAAAUCAUAAAGUGCAUUUUUAAGCCGGUAAACAUUAAAAACAAGCCUCGAAAACCAAAAAUCAUACUGAUAUUUCUUUGAAGAAUUAGAAGAUUCAGCGGGAAGAAUAUCGUGUCUAAAAUACGUUGGAAUCAGUAGGAAAAAUCGGAAUCGCGAAAUUUUCAUUUUUCCGCAUUUUCCAUUUCCUAUAUAUAUAGUAUGAAAAAUGAAAAAAAACAAAACAAAAAAAUCUCAAAACACACACACACGGCCGAGAGCUCUUGGAGGAAAGGGGGAAAAAUGAUUUUUUCCAAUUCUUGACCGAUCGUCGUUCCGUUCGUUGCUACGCGUAGGCCUCGAGGUUCGAUUGUGGAAACUUUGGGAUUGACUGAACAAGCUUGUGAGCGAGACCUACACCGCGAGACUGGAACAACUCGAGGCGUCCGUCAGCCGGUUCGUGAUGAUUCGUUGUGCGGGAAAGACCCGGAGCGAAAUGACUAUUACUGAAGCCUUCGACGAGGACCCGGACUUCAUGACUGAUCGAGGAAGGGUCGAUGAUAGUAGUGUGGGUUAUGGGUGGUUAGAGUCUUUUGAGCUGGUUGUUGCUGUCAUAGCUCUGAUUCGUCAUUUGUACUUUUGGGACCGGGUAGUUUCCGACAGGUUGCUUUCGGUGUGGUUCUCCUUAGAUGGGGAUCGCAUGGAGUAGUCGGACGUAGGAAGUCUUUUUGGAAGCCGUUUUGGGCUGACUUACUUUUCGGAGGACUGUAUUUAUAAAACUUAUGACUCUAUCUGUGAGUCGCACUUGUUUGCCGAUGGGCAAUACUUCUAGUUAUCUGAGGUUACUUACCGUCACUUGAGGACACUCGUGACGAUGUUUUUAGUUGCAGCGAGGGCUUUGCUUGCAUUGUAUAUUGAUCGCUGUUAAUCGCGAUUGGGUUGAGUCUUUAUUUCGACAAGUCUUUUUAUUUUAACAAAUAAAAAAAAAUACCUGCUUUUCCGCUUUA